CACUACCAUGCCUCUGGAAGACAGGCAUACAGCAGCAAACAUUGCAAACUGGUUAGAGGAGCAUUCAGGAAUUUAGAGAGCUGUUAGUGCUGCAAGAGCACUAGUUGAACAUUUUAAAAAAGUGAGCUAGCCAGCAGCAAGUUGAAGGAGAAGCAAAUGGGUACAGCUGAGCACAAGCUUCUUUAAGAUGUAAGCACAAGAUGGAAUAGUACUUACUAUAUGGUUGGCAGACUCAUUGAACAAAGGUGUCCGGUAACUGCCACUCUGUCUGACCCAUCAGUUACAAAAAGGGGCAAACAUUAUCUGGAAUUAAAACCAGACCAGUAGAGUAUUUUGGAAGAACUUUCCACUGCUCUUAAGCCCUUUGAAUGCGCUACUGUAUUCAUGAGUGGCCAGGAAUAUAUAACACUAUCUUCCAUGCCUGCCCUUGUGAAGGGGUUGUUGUGGUCAAAUGAGAGUGCCUAUUUUGACUCAUCUCCGCUAAAGAGCUUCCAAGCCACUGCAACAGACCAGCUUCAAAGCAGAUGGAAGGGGAUCCUUUUCUAAAAGGUCCAAAACACUGUAAUUAUUUCCUCUGCCCUGGACCCACCAUUUAGAAGAUUGAAAUGUUUAAUACCAGAGCAAAUCAUAAGUGUACAUUAGCCCUUAUACUGUCUCUUAAGCCCAAAUCUAACUAGAUAGAA